GGGUUGUGAGGUUAAGCGACUAAGCGUACACGGUGGAUGCCCUGGCAGUCAGAGGCGAUGAAGGACGUGCUAAUCUGCGAUAAGCGUCGGUAAGGUGAUAUGAACCGUUAUAACCGGCGAUUUCCGAAUGGGGAAACCCAGUGUGUUUCGACACACUAUCAUUAACUGAAUCCAUAGGUUAAUGAGGCGAACCGGGGGAACUGAAACAUCUAAGUACCCCGAGGAAAAGAAAUCAACCGAGAUUCCCCCAGUAGCGGCGAGCGAACGGGGAGGAGCCCAGAGCCUGAAUCAGUGUGUGUGUUAGUGGAAGCGUCUGGAAAGGCGCGCGAUACAGGGUGACAGCCCCGUACACAAAAAUGCACAUACUGUGAGCUCGAUGAGUAGGGCGGGACACGUGGUAUCCUGUCUGAAUAUGGGGGGACCAUCCUCCAAGGCUAAAUACUCCUGACUGACCGAUAGUGAACCAGUACCGUGAGGGAAAGGCGAAAAGAACCCCGGCGAGGGGAGUGAAAAAGAACCUGAAACCGUGUACGUACAAGCAGUGGGAGCCUCUUUUAUGGGGUGACUGCGUACCUUUUGUAUAAUGGGUCAGCGACUUAUAUUCUGUAGCAAGGUUAACCGAAUAGGGGAGCCGAAGGGAAACCGAGUCUUAACUGGGCGUUAAGUUGCAGGGUAUAGACCCGAAACCCGGUGAUCUAGCCAUGGGCAGGUUGAAGGUUGGGUAACACUAACUGGAGGACCGAACCGACUAAUGUUGAAAAAUUAGCGGAUGACUUGUGGCUGGGGGUGAAAGGCCAAUCAAACCGGGAGAUAGCUGGUUCUCCCCGAAAGCUAUUUAGGUAGCGCCUCGUGAAUUCAUCUCCGGGGGUAGAGCACUGUUUCGGCAAGGGGGUCAUCCCGACUUACCAACCCGAUGCAAACUGCGAAUACCGGAGAAUGUUAUCACGGGAGACACACGGCGGGUGCUAACGUCCGUCGUGAAGAGGGAAACAACCCAGACCGCCAGCUAAGGUCCCAAAGUCAUGGUUAAGUGGGAAACGAUGUGGGAAGGCCCAGACAGCCAGGAUGUUGGCUUAGAAGCAGCCAUCAUUUAAAGAAAGCGUAAUAGCUCACUGGUCGAGUCGGCCUGCGCGGAAGAUGUAACGGGGCUAAACCAUGCACCGAAGCUGCGGCAGCGACGCUUAUGCGUUGUUGGGUAGGGGAGCGUUCUGUAAGCCUGUGAAGGUGUACUGUGAGGUAUGCUGGAGGUAUCAGAAGUGCGAAUGCUGACAUAAGUAACGAUAAAGCGGGUGAAAAGCCCGCUCGCCGGAAGACCAAGGGUUCCUGUCCAACGUUAAUCGGGGCAGGGUGAGUCGACCCCUAAGGCGAGGCCGAAAGGCGUAGUCGAUGGGAAACAGGUUAAUAUUCCUGUACUUGGUGUUACUGCGAAGGGGGGACGGAGAAGGCUAUGUUGGCCGGGCGACGGUUGUCCCGGUUUAAGCGUGUAGGCUGGUUUUCCAGGCAAAUCCGGAAAAUCAAGGCUGAGGCGUGAUGACGAGGCACUACGGUGCUGAAGCAACAAAUGCCCUGCUUCCAGGAAAAGCCUCUAAGCAUCAGGUAACAUCAAAUCGUACCCCAAACCGACACAGGUGGUCAGGUAGAGAAUACCAAGGCGCUUGAGAGAACUCGGGUGAAGGAACUAGGCAAAAUGGUGCCGUAACUUCGGGAGAAGGCACGCUGAUAUGUAGGUGAAGCGACUUGCUCGUGGAGCUGAAAUCAGUCGAAGAUACCAGCUGGCUGCAACUGUUUAUUAAAAACACAGCACUGUGCAAACACGAAAGUGGACGUAUACGGUGUGACGCCUGCCCGGUGCCGGAAGGUUAAUUGAUGGGGUUAGCGGUAACGCGAAGCUCUUGAUCGAAGCCCCGGUAAACGGCGGCCGUAACUAUAACGGUCCUAAGGUAGCGAAAUUCCUUGUCGGGUAAGUUCCGACCUGCACGAAUGGCGUAAUGAUGGCCAGGCUGUCUCCACCCGAGACUCAGUGAAAUUGAACUCGCUGUGAAGAUGCAGUGUACCCGCGGCAAGACGGAAAGACCCCGUGAACCUUUACUAUAGCUUGACACUGAACAUUGAGCCUUGAUGUGUAGGAUAGGUGGGAGGCUUUGAAGUGUGGACGCCAGUCUGCAUGGAGCCG
rnacentral:rRNA from 1 species